UGAAGCAGAGUGAGAAAGACAGGUACUCCAUCGGCUCUUGCAGUUCAGAACUCGCUGGCUCCAGCACCUGCGCCAACAGAACGGUGCUGCGGAUUCCAUGUCUACUGCCUGAUGACUGCUGGGUUCCAGCUGGGUGAAACGUGCCCAGGACAGUGCCUCCUGGCUUUUUCCAGUUGGGAGCUGAGUAUCGACCACAAGUUUAUGAGUAGCUCCUUUCUCGGAAGCAGCAUACAAGAUUUCUCUCCACAAUUCUGCACGAGAUCAGUACAAGCACCCUUCUUCAACACAUUUCACUCCUUCCCCUGAUUCCUGCUUCUUGGACAAUUGUUCGGCUUUGGGGCAAUAAUCCAUAUUGGGAACAUCGUGUCACCUACUACCAUGCUGAGUCAAAAG